GGCGUGUGGGUGGCCGUGCCCCUCUGCCUGGAGCCGCCUCAAAUCAACUUUAUUGACAGUAGGCGGUGACCGACAGGCGGGGUGCACGCUGGGCACACGUGCCUGGUCGGUGUUACUUGAAGCGUGGGGACUAGAAGUCAGACCCUGAGGAGCAUGAUCUCUGGAAGCUGGAGAGACCUUAAGAGUUAGGCCAACCUGUUGUGGGUGCUGGAAUCCUUUGGGCACCAAGAAGUGCUUGCACACGCUCUACUGAUGGGGAACUUAACACUUCAUGAGUGAGUCUAGUCUUCCCUGGACAGUGCUGUCUGUUGAUUCCUUAUAAUGCACAUCAUAGCUUUCAUUGAUUGCAUUAAGCACCUACUGUGAGCCAAGCAUUGAGAUAUGUGCUGUAUAGCUCAUUCUCACAGUACCCCACUUGGGUAAUUAGUGUUAUUAUUAUCUCCAUUUUGAAGACGGUUAAACUGAAGCAGAAAUUGAUUAAAUGAGC
rnacentral:lncRNA from 1 species